AGGAUGAACGCUGGCGGCGUGCCUAAUACAUGCAAGUCGAGCGGUAAGGCCCCUUCGGGGGUACACGAGCGGCGGACGGCUGAGUAACACGUAGGAACGUACCCCAAAGUGAGGGAUAAGCACCAGAAAUGGUGUCUAAUACCGCAUGUGCUCUUCGGAGGAAAGCUUCGGCGCUUUGGGAACGGCCUGCGCAUGAUUAGCUUGUUGGUGAGGUAAUGGCUCACCAAGGCGACGAUCAUUAGCUGGUCUGAGAGGAUGAUCAGCCAGACUGGGACUGAGAACGGCCCAGACUCCUACGGGAGGCAGCAGUAGGGAAUUUUCCACAAUGGGCGAAAGCCUGAUGGAGCAACGCCGCGUGCAGGAUGAAUGCCUUCGGGUGUAAACUGCUUUAUAUGUGACGAAUAUGACGGUAGCAUAUGAAUAAGGAUACGGCUAACUCCGCGCCAGCAACCGCGGUAA
rnacentral:rRNA from 1 species